rnacentral:rRNA from 1 species
AUUGCCUACGGGAGGCAGCAGUGGGGAAUAUUGGGCAAUGGGCGCAAGCCUGACCCAGCAACGCCGCGUGAAGGAAGAAGGCUUUCGGGUUGUAAACUUCUUUUAUGAGGGACGAAAGAAAUGACGGUACCUCAUGAAUAAGCCACGGCUAACUACGUGCCAGCAGCCGCGGUAAUACGUAGGUGGCAAGCGUUAUCCGGAUUUAUUGGGUGUAAAGGGCGUGUAGGCGGGAAUGCAAGUCAGAUGUGAAAACUAUGGGCUCAACCCAUAGCCUGCAUUU